rnacentral:tRNA from 1 species
GCCCCUGUAGUGAAACGGAUAUCACGACUGGCUUCGAACCAGUUAUUCCAGGUUCAAAUCCUGGCGGGGGCACCA